rnacentral:tRNA from 1 species
GCGCGAGUGGCGAAAUGGUAACCGCAGGGGUCUCAAAAACCCCCGGGGGCAACCCCUUGCCGGUUCGAGUCCGGCCUCGCGCA